rnacentral:piRNA from 1 species
UAAAUACGUGUGUAUGGGUGUAACUCAGCU